CCUACGGGGGGCUGCAGUGGGGAAUAUUGCACAAUGGGGGAAACCCUGAUGCAGCGACGCCGCGUGAGUGAAGAAGUAUCUCUGUAUGUAAAGCUCUAUCAGCAGGGAAGAAAAUGACGGUACCUGACUAAGACUCCCCGGCUAACUCCGUGCCAGCAGCCGCGGUAAUACGUAGGGGGCAAGCGUUAUCCGGAUUUACUGGGUGUAAAGGGAGCGUAGACGGCGCUGCAGGUCCGGGGUGAAAGCCCAUGGCUUAACCAUGGUACUGCUCUGGAAACUGUGGGGCUGGAGUGCGGUGGGGGCAGGCGGAAUGCCUGGUGUAGCGGUGAAAUGCGUAGAGAUUAGACGGAACACCGGCGGCGAAGGCGGCCUGCUGGACCGUAACUGACGUUGAGGCUCGAAAGCGUGGGGAGCAAACAGGAUUAGAUACCCUUGUAGUC
rnacentral:rRNA from 1 species